CGUGCUUAACACAUGCAAGUCGCACGAGAACGCUUCAGCUUGCUGAAGUUAGUAAAGUGGCGCACGGGUGAGUAACGCGUGGGUAAUCUACCCUCGAAUUGGGGAUAACCCGCCGAAAGGCGGGCUAAUACCGAAUAAUAUCUUAAAAACCUCGGUUCCAAAGAUCAAAGGAGGCCUCUACUUGUAAGCUUCUGUUUGAGGAUGAGCCCGCGUACCAUUAGCUUGUUGGUAGGGUAAUGGCCUACCAAGGCUACGAUGGUUAGCUGGUCUGAGAGGAUGAUCAGCCACACUGGAACUGACACACGGUCCAGACUCCUACGGGAGGCAGCAGUGAGGAAUUUUGCGCAAUGGGGGAAACCCUGACGCAGCAACGCCGCGUGAGUGAUGAAGGCUUUCGGGUCGUAAAGCUCUGUCAAGUGGGAAGAACUCGCAUGGUGCUAAUACUACCAUGUGUUGACGGUACCACUGAAGGAAGCACCGGCUAACUCCGUGCCAGCAGCCGCGGUAAUACGGGGUGUGCAAGCGUUAUUCGGAAUUACUGGGCGUAAAGAGCGCGUAGGCGGUCCUUUAAGUCAGGUGUGAAAGCCCGGGGCUCAACCCCGGAAGUGCACUUGAAACUAAGGGACUUGAGUAUGGGAGAGGGAAGUGGAAUUCCUGGUGUAGCGGUGAAAUGCGUAGAUAUCAGGAGGAACAUCGGUGGCGAAGGCGACUUCCUGGACCAAUACUGACGCUGAGGCGCGAAGGCGUGGGGAGCAAACAGGGUUAGAUACCCUGGUAGUCCACGCAGUAAACGGUGAACACUAGUGUAGCGGGUAUUGACCCCUGCUGUGCCGCAGCAAACGCAUUAAGUGUUCCGCCUGGGGAGUACGACCGCAAGGUUAAAACUCAAAGGAAUUGACGGGGGCCCGCACAAGCGGUGGAGCAUGUGGUUUAAUUCGACGCAACGCGAAGAA
rnacentral:rRNA from 1 species